AAUAAGAAACGGAGAAAAUUUGAGAUUCGCGAAGAAAUUUUCUGAGGUUGAAAAGAAGAAUUUAGGAGAGAGAUAAACAAAAUCGAAGAAGAAUCUUGUUCUCUAUUCAUCUUCUUUAACUUCAAUCUUAAUUGUUACAAAUUUCUAGGGCUAGGUUUUCAGUUAGGGUUUUGGUGAUUGUAAAAAGGGAAAAUCUUAACAAUGAAUGAUCAGUCGCAAAUGAUGAAUCAACAUCCGAUGAUGAAUCAACCGCAAUUGGUGAGCCAACAACCGCCACAGAUGCCUCCACCACCGACACACGCGCAGAUUAAUCAGCUGAAUCAGAUGGUAGCUAAUCAAGUUCAAGUUCAAGCUCAAGAUCAAAUGGUAGCCAACUAUGGUCAGUGGUCUCAACCUCCUCAUACAAUGCCGCCACCAAUGAAGCCGAUGCAAUUCGCUAAUCCUAUGAAUCAAAUGUUAUAUGCUGGUGGAAUUGCAAAAUCUGGACGGAGUGGUAACUGGAAAGGAAAGAAACCUAUGGAUAAGAGGAAAGACGGUAGAAGAAAGGAUAACAGUAAUAAUAGUAAUAAUAAUAAGGGAAUGUCUGUUGUUGGCGGCCCAGUUGGGGGUUUAAGUUAUCAACCUCCAACCCUAUAUGAACUUGAACAACAGAAUCGACUUAAGGCGAGGAGAUUUUACCAUCCUAAGAGGAAAUUUAAUAGGAUGGGACCUUAUGCUCAUGCUCCUAGGAACACCACAUCGUAUAUUAUUCGAGCUAAGAAGUCAGGUGGGAUUGCGUCAUUAGUUUCUCCAUGUCCUGUAACACCAGCGGUUCUGCCUACACCGGUUUUUUCCCCAUCGAGGGAGUCUUUGGUUGAUAUGGCAAAGGAAGAGUGGGGGGUUGAUGGGUAUGGCUCGAUGAAAGGAUUGAUUAGGCUUAGGUCACCAGGACAUGAUGAGGCUGUGGAUGAUUAUGAUGAGGAAGAUGAUGGGGGUUCCAGUGAGAGUGAUGUUGAGGAGCAUGUGGAGGUUGAGAGGAGGUUGGACCAUGAUUUGAGUCGGUUUGAGAUGAUUUAUCCUAAUAGUGGUGUUGACUAUCAUAAUGUGUUGGAGAAUAGAGUUGAUGACCAGGAUACUCAUAUUGCGCAACUGGAGGAGGAGAAUUUGAUUCUGAAGGAGAGGCUUUAUUUAAUGGAGAGGGAACUAGGAGAGCUGAGAAGGAGAUUGUGUUGUCUUGAGAGGCAGAAUCAGGUUGUAGAAGAUGUUAAUGAAGAGAUUGUUGAAAAUGUGUCAGAAAAUGAUAGUGAAGGACUGAGAAGCGUGUCCUUACUUGUUAACAAGCAUAACGAAGAGGUGGAUUUUGUGCCUAGAAAUGGGGCUGGGGAUAGUGAGGCAUUAAGAGAUGACAGUGGGGAAACGCUGCACAAGGAACUCAAGGAGCUUGCUGUGAAAGAUGAUAUCCAUUGUGAAGGGAUGAAGUUUCAUGAAACUGAUGUUGGAUUGGAGGAGGAUAAGCAGGAUAUUGGUUCAGUUGGUAAUGUGCUUGGUCAUAGAUUGCCGGAGGAUAAGCAGAUUGGAACUCAUGAGAAGGAAGUGCUCAUGGAUAUGGGAAAUGAAUCGAGUGCACACCAGGAGCCUGUGAAUGACAACAUUUUGCGUUCAUUUGUUGAAAAUAAGACGGAUAAUAAUAUUGACGUAGCUGGGACAAUUCAAGUUGUUGAAGAUGCCUGCAUGGGUGAAGCUUUGUUAGAUGAAAUGAAUGAGAACAAUAGGUCUAAGGGAGAGGUAACGGACAGAAAUGAGGUCAAUCUGAAGCAAAAUGAGGCUGUGGUUGUUGAUGCAAUAGGGAGAAUUGAUGAAGUGAAUAAUAUUGAUGCUGCUAAAGAUGUCCCUAUGGGCGAUGUUACGACUGACAAGGAGGUCAAUUCUAAUGACCGAAGGGUGUGAGGUGGAAGCUCAGAGAAAAACAUUGGCGACGGUGACUCUUCAAGUUGUCCCGCGUUAAUAUCUUAGGAGAAGAUGAAGAGUCAUUUGGCAAGGCUCAACACUUCUGUUAUCGACUACAUCAUGCAGGUUAUCCAGGCAAGAUCUGGAAACCAACAAUUUUCAUCGUACUGGAUUAGGUUCAAUCUGUAUUUCAUUUUUACUCUUGAUCAAUAUCAAUUAUGGUGGAACUUAAUCACAGGUUAAUGUUUCUUCCUCGAUGGGAUGGUUUGCUCAAUGAUGGUAUUAUAUAUACUUUGGAGGAUCAGUACGAUGAGUAUGUGGUAAAUUGUCUCAUGACUUGCUUUGAAUUUGGGCGACUUACUUUCUGGUGUGUUGGUUUAUUUUUUCAGCCAAGCAUAUGAAGGUUGCUUAUAGCAAUUCUUGCCUCCAGGAAGUUGGAGCUGCAAGAUUUCGUAUGUUUUCAUUAGCUUCUGUUUUGCCUCCGAGGAAGUGCAGUGUCCAUCAUUAUGGUGGCGACUUGGUAAAAAGUUUUUGGUACUUUCCUCUAGUUAGCAUGUAGCUUUGAACGAGUCCUUUGUGUUCUUUGUUAUGAUUUGGUUAUUGUGUAGAUUGUAUUGCCUGUAUGUUUUAGCUUGAUCUAGUCCUCUAUACUAUAUAUUCUUCUGCCCCCUUUUGGUUUCCUUUUAUUACAUUUCUACCUAUUUCUGGAAGUAAUCAUUCAUGCAGUUGGUCCUUAUGUUGCACUAUUCUCCGCGUAUUGUUAACAGGUCUGUGAUCUCAUGAUGUACCGAAACAAUUUAUAUAAUUGAUGUAUGCAUCUUUAUUUAUAUGUAAUAGCACCACAGUUGUAAAUUCACUCCUAUUUGAUGAAGCAUUUUUGAACAUAUUUGUCUGAUGAAUUAUGUAUGUGCAGUGAAGUGGGUAGUUUUUCUUGUCAAGUUCUUCAUCGCUGCUACAUGGGUGUGUUGGUAUUUUUCGUUUGAUCCAGUAUUCGAGUCCUGAAAUGGUGCAGUGCAGCACUGGAAAUUUUUACUUUUCAUUAGUGCUGAAUGAUAUGAUUUACUGUGCGAGUGUGCUGCGGCCAACUUGCUUGCAAAGGAGUGAUGUAGGCUCCGCUAUGGAACACUGGAACCUCCUUCCUUCCAAAGGAGGUAUGGAGGCUCUUUUGCGGAACCGUUGAAUCGUUGGUCCUUUGAUUAAUGGUGCAUAUCAAUGUAGCUAGAUUAGCAUUUUGGUCAUCAUAAUUAGUGUGUUGAUCAGUAAUCACUAACAUAUGUAUGUCUUGUUGGUAUAGUGUGACUCAAACGAGAAUCGGGAUACAGAAGGUGAUAAAACAAGGUUUGGGUCAAAAGGUGGUCACUUUAUUUGUCCAUGUUUAUGGUGAAAGUUUAUUCUCGGUGCCAGUGGAUGUGGAUGUAGCUAUUACGUUGAUAGUGAAACACAUUAUAUUUAUCGGUUGUGAUUUUCGUUAUUAUUUAUUUGAAUCUUUAUGUUCCGUUAUUGUUUUUUGAUCUUUCCUUUCAUUGUCACACAUGAUCUUGUUUUUAAAGUUUUACUUGUUUUUCUCAUUAUGUACUACGGAAAUAAUAAUUUAAAACCUUAACAAUUGAUGAUA